rnacentral:rRNA from 1 species
AUACAGAGGGGGCAAGCGUUAUUCGGAAUUAUUGGGCGUAAAGGGCGCGUAGGCGGCCUGGCAAGUGACGGGUGAAAUCCCUCGGCUUAACCGAGGAACUGCCUGUCAAACUGCUUGGCUUGAGACCGGGAGAGGCGAGUGGAAUCCCCAGUGUAGCGGUGAAAUGCGUAGAUAUUGGGGGGAACACCAGUGGCGAAGGCGGCUCGCUGGACCGGUACUGACGCUGAGGCGCGAAAGCGUGGGGAGCAAACAGG